rnacentral:rRNA from 1 species
CGCGAAUGGCUCAUUACAACAGCUAAAAUCUACUUGAUCUUGACACAAUCCUACUUGGAUAACUGUGGUAAUUCUAGAGCUAAUACAUGCAUUAAAGCUCUGACCUUAGGGGAAGAGUGCAUUUAUUAGAACAAAACCAAGCGGCUUCGGCUGUUUUCGGUUGACUCAUAGUAACUGAGCUGAUCGCAUGGUCUUGCACCGGCGACGUGUCUUUCGAGUAUCUGCCGUAUCAACUUUCGAUGGUAGUGUAUCUGACUACCAUGGUGAUCACGCGUAACGGAGAAUAAGGGUUCGACUCCGGAGAGUUCGCCUGAGAAAUCGCGAACACAUCUAAGGAAGGCAGCAGGCGCGAAAAUUACCCACUCUCAGCACGAGGAGGUAGUGACGAAAAAUAACGAGACCGUUCUCUUAUGAGGCCGGUCAUCGGAAUGGGUACAAUUUAAACCCUUUAACGAGUAUCUAUGAGAGGGCACGUCUGGUGCCAGCAGCCGCGGUAAUUCCAGCU